rnacentral:rRNA from 1 species
CGGCGUGCUUAACACAUGCAAGUCGAACGAAGCAUCUCGCCCGAAGAAAUGGAGUGCUUGCACAAAGUGGAUUCAAUUGAGAUGACUGAGUGGCGGACGGGUGAGUAACGCGUGGGUAACCUGCCCUAUACAGGGGGAUAGCAGUUGGAAACGACUGAUAAUACCGCAUAAGCGCACAGCAUCGCAUGAUGCAGUGUAGAAAAACUCCGGUGGUAUAGGAUGGACCCCGCGUCUGAUUAGCUAGUUGGUGAGGUAACGGCUCACCAAGGCGACGAUCAGUAGCCGACCUGAGAGGGUGACCGGCCACAUUGGGACUGAGACACGGCCCAAACUCCUACGGGAGGCAGCAGGUGGGGAAUAUUGCACAAUGGGCGAAAGCCUGAUGCAAGCGACGCCGCGUGAGUGAGGAAGUUAUUUCGGUAUAGUAAAGCUCUAUCAGCAGGGAAGAUAAUGACGGUACCUGACUAAGAAGCACCGGACUAAAUACGUGCCAGCCGCCGC